AAGGCGUCGACGGGUAGCCGGCCUGAGAGGGUGACCGGCCACACUGGGACUGAGACACGGCCCAGACUCCUACGGGAGGCAGCAGUGGGGAAUAUUGCACAAUGGGCGGAAGCCUGAUGCAGCAACGCCGCGUGAGGGAUGACGGCCUUCGGGUUGUAAACCUCUUUUAGCAGGGAAGAAGCGUAAGUGACGGUACCUGCAGAAAAAGCGCCGGCUAACUACGUGCCAGCAGCCGCGGUAAUACGUAGGGCGCAAGCGUUAUCCGGAAUUAUUGGGCGUAAAGAGCUCGUAGGCGGUUUGUCGCGUCUGCUGUGAAAACCCGAGGCUCAACCUCGGGCCUGCAGUGGGUACGGGCAGACUAGAGUGCGGUAGGGGAGAUUGGAAUUCCUGGUGUAGCGGUGGAAUGCGCAGAUAUCAGGAGGAACACCGAUGGCGAAGGCAGAUCUCUGGGCCGUUACUGACGCUGAGGAGCGAAAGGGUGGGGAGCAAACAGGCUUAGAUACCCUGGUAGUCCACCCCGUAAACGUUGGGAACUAGUUGUGGGGGCCUUUCCACGGUCUCCGUGACGCAGCUAACGCAUUAAGUUCCCCGCCUGGGGAGUACGGCCGCAAGGCUAAAACUCAAAGGAAUUGACGGGGACCCGCACAAGCGGCGGAGCAUGCGGAUUAAUUCGAUGCAACGCGAAGAACCUUACCAAGGCUUGACAUACACCGGAAACGUCUGGAAACAGUCGCCCCUUUUUGGUCGGUGUACAGGUGGUGCAUGGUUGUCGUCAGCUCGUGUCGUGAGAUGUUGGGUUAAGUCCCGCAACGAGCGCAACCCUCGUUCUAUGUUGCCAGCACGUUAUGGUGGGAACUCAUGGGAUACUGCCGGGGUCAACUCGGAGGAAGGUGGGGAUGACGUCAAAUCAUCAUGCCCCUUAUGUCUUGGGCUUCACGCAUGCUACAAUGGCCGGUACAAAGGGCUGCAA
rnacentral:rRNA from 1 species